CGGGAUGUGGCACAGUUUGGUAGCGCGCAUCGUUCGGGACGAUGAGGCCGCAGGUUCGAAUCCUGUCAUCCCGACCA
rnacentral:tRNA from 18 species